rnacentral:misc_RNA from 1 species
AGCAGCCGCGGUAAUUCCAGCUCCAAUAGCGCAUAUUAAAGUUGCUGCAGUUAAAAAGCUCGUAGUUGAAUUUUGGAUUCUUCCAAUUGGUCCAUCUUUUAGAUGAGUACUGGUUGUGUGGGGUCUACCGCCUGGUGAUACGUAAUGUCCUUUAUUGGAUGUUGCGGGUAGUCAGGACCUUUACCUUGAAAAAAUUAGAGUGUUUAAAGCAGGCUUAUGCCGGAAUACAUUAGCAUGGAAUAAUAGAAUAGGACGAAGUUGUUUUAUUUUGUUGGUUUCUAGGACAACCGUAAUGAUUAAUAGGGAUAGUUGGGGGCAUUAGUAUUCAAUUGUCAGAGGUGAAAUUCUUGGAUUUAUUGAAGACUAACUACUGCGAAAGCAUUUUGCCAAGGAUGUUUUCAUUAAUCAAGAACGAAAGUUAGGGGAUCGAAGACGAUCAGAUACCGUCGUAGUCUUAACCAUAAACUAUGCCGACUAGGGAUCGGGCGAUGUUGUUUCCAUGACUCGCUCGGCACCUUAU